GAUGAACGCUAGCUACAGGCUUAACACAUGCAAGUCGCGGGGCAGCAUGGGGGUUGCUUGCAAUCCCCGAUGGCGACCGGCGCACGGGUGAGUAACGCGUAUCCAACCUGCCCUUCACCACGGGAUAACCCGGCGAAAGUCGGACUAAUACCGUAUGUUGUCCAUUGACGGCAUCCGAUUUGGACGAAAGGUUUGGCGGUGAAGGAUGGGGAUGCGUCCGAUUAGCUGGACGGCGGGGUGACGGCCCACCGUGGCGACGAUCGGUAGGGGUUCGGAGAGGAAGGUCCCCCACACUGGAACUGAGACACGGUCCAGACUCCUACGGGAGGCAGCAGUGAGGAAUAUUGGCCAAUGGGCGUAAGCCUGAACCAGCCAAGUAGCGUGCAGGAUGACGGCCCUAUGGGUUGUAAACUGCUUUUAUGCGGGGAUAAAGUGGCCCACGUGUGGGUUUUUGCAGGUACCGCAUGAAUAAGGACCGGCUAAUUCCGUG
rnacentral:rRNA from 1 species